CUCCGGCGGCGGGGUGGGGGAGGAGGCGGCGGCGCUGUGGAGCUGGCGGCCCGCGGCCUGGGGACCGCUCCUCACGUCUCCUCCACCUCCCGGUUCCCGGGCGGCUCCCACAGCGGCUUUCCCAGCGCCCUCCCCUCUCCCCUCCCUCGCCCGCCAUGGAAGCUGGGGCCGCGGCGCGCGCAGGGGGACGCACCAUCGGAGCCGGUGACGGGGCCGCAACCAGCCCAGGCGAGGGGCGUGCGAAGGGCAAGGCCCGGUCAGCGGCUCCACCCUGAAUUCUCCGCGCCGCGGGCGACACACACCCGGCCCGCGCGCCCCCAACCCCGCCCGCUCACCUGCUCCGCGGAGGGGCUCGGGCAGUGUUUACGCGGCUGGCGAAGCGCCCGGCCGGACCCGGCGCCGACGCAGGCCCCGCCCCGGACCCGCCCCCGGACCCGCCCCGGCUUGGUUUGCGACGCUACGUUCCUUCUCCCACCCCGACUCUGGCCCACCUGGGGUCCGGCCGCCCGGAGGAAGAGAACUUCAGAGCCAGCAGCAACUCUGGAUAAAACUGAACAGGGAUGGAGUGGCUACUGAUGACCUCAGAAUUGGUUGUAAUUUUAGGAUUGAAGUCCACGGGGGUUCCAGCUUCAGCAGGAUUCUUUCCUCACUGUGCACACUCUCCCUGGGAAAUCCAGCCAUGCCCAGAGCUGCUACUUCUAUGCUGAUGAAGCCAAAUGCUGAAUCUCCAACUUAAUCCACUCCCCUGAACUCCAGACACAUGGACAACUGCACAUGGACCAGUCCACUCAAAUCCCACAGACAACUCUAGAAUAUGGAGGUGAUGGCUGGAGCUCAGGCAGCCAACUUGGACCACGAAGAUCAUGAGGACAGUGAAGCAAUAAAAUAGAAGAAAGUCCUUAAUGAUUGUGGAACCACUGGCUUGGAAUUACUUACUUCCUGACUUUGUUUCAAGGAAGGAAAAACAACUUUCAUCUUGUUUAGGCCAUUGUUAUUUUGUGAUUUCAUUAUAUGCAGCUAAACCAUAGCUUGAUUAAUACACAAACCUUUCCAACCCCGGUCCCACCAUACCAUGUUCUCCUCUGGCUAUAUUGAACUACAUACAGCUCUCUCUUCCAUUCCUUUGCACAUCAUUUACUACAAGGCAUAAAGAUCUAUCUACUCAUCUCCGUUACUGCCCCGUGAAAGUUUUUAGAGCAGGUUCUGUGUCUUUCUAGGCACUCCUGUCAUGGGAUCAACUUUUCUAAGGCAAGAAAUGGAGGGUUAGGGAAGGAACAUUUAUAGUACCUCAAUUAUAUGUGUCUUAUAUUUGUUUCUCUUAUUUGAAUUCUUGGAGCAAUUUUGUGAGGGGAGACAUUAUUAUUACCCAUUUAUAAAAGAGGAAUUGGAGACUUACAAAGAUGAAGGUGUUUCCCAAAAUAUGUACAGAUAAUGAGUGGCAGAACCAACUCUGAAACUCAACUCUGUCUGAUGCAACAGCCCUUUCUACUCUGGAACGUUCCAUGUCAGUGUGGGCCAGGCUGUGGCUGAGUCAUCUUUGAUGAAUUAAUUCCCUUUGCAGUUCUCCUUGGAGGUUGUCAUUCUCAGCAGCUUUUCACAUGAUGGUUUGUGAGGGAUUAGCACCUUCCUGAAGUUGACCUCAGAUCAGGAAGGGAUGACCUCUGCUUCGGGUUUUGGUGUUCAUGGGAUUUUUUUUUUCCUUUUAACACACUUUAGAAACUAAUCACUGAACUUUAGAACCAGAUGGACCUGGGUUUGAAAUCCAUCUCUUCCACUUACUUGCUGCGAGACCCAGGAAAGUUACCUUAACUCUCUAGGUCCCAGUUUUCUCAUGUUUGAAGGGAUAUGAUAUCCCUCAGAGGAUCAUGAAGAAGAUAAAAACAGAAGUAGAAAUGAAAGUGGCAGAAGCACAGCAGACACUCAAUCCAUGUUGUCUUCCUUCCUUCUCCUCUCUAUUUAAGGUGGGGAUUUUGUUUUGUUUUGUUUGACACUGUGCUACUGUUCAAGAUUAUUCUGCACCCCUCACUGCACAGGGAUCAUACCUUCUGUUCCCUGUUGAACACAGGACCAGCCAGGUGACUUUAAGGAAUGCCAGCAGCUGCUAGCAGUUCUCGGCAGAGGCUUUCAGAUUUUGGGCGUGCUUCACCAUGCUCUUUUCUUUUUGCCAGAUCAGCUAUGUUCCAGAUAAGGGCCACUCUAUUAAACUGGGUCCAUAGCCAACGUGUGAAGAACAUGUAGUAUGAACGAUAAAUAAACCUUCAUUGAUGUAAACC